rnacentral:rRNA from 1 species
AACGAACGCUGGCGGCAGGCCUAACACAUGCAAGUCGAGCGAGGACUUCGGUCCUAGCGGCGGACGGGUGAGUAACGCGUGGGAACGUGCCCUUUGCUUCGGAAUAGCCCUGGGAAACUGGGAGUAAUACCGGAUGAGCCCUUUGGGGGAAAGAUUUAUCGGCGAAGGAUCGGCCCGCGUUGGAUUAGGUAGUUGGUGGGGUAAUGGCCUACCAAGCCGACGAUCCAUAGCUGGUUUGAGAGGAUGAUCAGCCACACUGGGACUGAGACACGGCCCAGACUCCUACGGGAGGCAGCAGUGGGGAAUCUUAGACAAUGGGGGAAACCCUGAUCUAGCCAGGCCGCGUGAGCGAUGAAGGCCUUAGGGUUGUAAAGCUCUUUCAGCUGGGAAGAUAAUGACGGUACCAGCAGAAGAAGCCCCGGCUAUCUCCGUG